GAAAUGCGAUACGUAGUGUGAAUUGCAGAAUUCAGUGAAUCAUCGAAUCUUUGAACGCAUAUUGCGCCCCUUGGUAUUCCAUGGGGCAUGCCUGUUCGAGCGUCAUCUACACCCUCAAGCUCUGCUUGGUGUUGGGCGUCUUUGUCCCGCCUCCGCGCGCGGACUCGCCCCAAAUUCAUUGGCAGCGGUCCUUGCCUCCUCUCGCGCAGCACAUUGCGCUUCUCGAGGUGUUGCGGCCCGCGUCCAGAAAGCAAUCGUUACCGUCUUUGACCUCGGAUCAGGUAGGGAUACCCGCUGAACUUAAGC
rnacentral:misc_RNA from 1 species